CCGGCGACUCUGCUAGUGGUUCUCUCCUCUGAUUUCUCUCGCCCGCCACCGGCCCUGAUCUCGGCGAUGCCCGCCUCUCACGACCCCCAAGUCCGGCGACGCCCUCUUCACCAGCGUUGAGCACGUAAACGCGGAGCUCUUCACGCUCACAUGCGGCAGCUGCUCACGGAUCUCGAAGAGGUCGAGGAGGUCAACAAGCAGCUCGAUCAGAUGUUCCAUGAAGACGGAGGUUACAUGGGUCCGCGACAUGCUUCGUGGGGAUGACGCCUACGAGAUGCGGUGAAGCUCACCAAGCAAGUCCCAGAGGAAUACCCCUACAAGGAUGAUGACUAGUUUCAUCUCAAGGGGUAGCUCUUCCGCACGGUGGCACUUGUUUGUUUGUCUGCAUAUCCGUUUUGCUUUCCCUGUGGCUGUAAUUUCUGGUACAACCGUCAAGUUUUACAUGAGGCACCUGUGCAUUGUAUUUUGCAGCUGCGCUGUGUAGUGUGUACCGCAGAUGUAUUAUAGAGAUCUUUCCUGCUUUGGAACAGUGCCUGGAAAUGAAGUGUUUUUACUCUGAUUAGCUGACAAAUCUUUUGGGAAUA